GACGAACGCUGGCGGCGUGCUUAACACAUGCAAGUCGAACGGAAAGGCCCUGCUUUUGUGGGGUGCUCGAGUGGCGAACGGGUGAGUAACACGUGAGUAACCUGCCCUUGACUUUGGGAUAACUUCAGGAAACUGGGGCUAAUACCGGAUAGGAGCUCCUGCUGCAUGGUGGGGGUUGGAAAGUUUCGGCGGUUGGGGAUGGACUCGCGGCUUAUCAGCUUGUUGGUGGGGUAGUGGCUUACCAAGGCUUUGACGGGUAGCCGGCCUGAGAGGGGGACCGGCCACAUUGGGACUGAGGUACGGCGCAGACUCCAACGGGAGGCAGCAGUGGAGAAUAUUGCACAAUGGGCGGAAGCCUGAUGCAGCAGCGCCGCGUGCGGGAUGACGGCCUUCGGGUUGUAAACCGCUUUCGCCUGUGACGAAGCGUGAGUGACGGUAAUGGGUAAAGAAGCACCGGCUAACUACGUG
rnacentral:rRNA from 1 species